CUUACAUUUCAAUAUGUGAAUACAAUACCAUGCAAAGUCUAGAUGUACUGAACGAUGACGAAUACAGCUCUUGAGAUAUUUUCGGACUUUCACGAGACAACCAUGAAAUCAAAUGGACUAAGGAAAGCUUCGACGAGGGACUUAGAACAAACAAUGCUGAAAACCAUCGUCUAUUGAAAGAAGGCCAACAAUACAUUUCAGAGGAAAAGAACUUUCUCGCUUUAGGCCUUCUCGAGGAAGAAGAAGAUAGAGAAAAGCCGUUCUACGAAGAUGCUCAGUCAUUUAACAUCGUUACAUUUAAAAUCGAAAUUUAAUUAUGUAAA
rnacentral:misc_RNA from 1 species